GGGGCUAUAGCUCAGCUGGGAGAGCGCCUGCCUUGCACGCAGGGGGUCAGCGGUUCGAUCCCGCUUAGCUCCA
rnacentral:tRNA from 1 species